UGGGGUUAUAGGCACGAGCUACUGUGCCCAGCCGAGUAGGGGUUUUCUGCUCAGUGGUAAAGUGGAGCGAGAGGGGCGACUGCAGCUCUCCUGGGAAAAGUGACCAGGAGUCUCUUAUUCCAGCUUCUGAGACUGCUGUGUUCUUGGUGAGUCUCCUCCUACUCUCUGAGCUUCGGGUAGACAAAACAGGAUUGAUUGUGUCUCUUUCACCAGUUAGUGUGAUGACUGCUUUCACAAUCUUGUCGCAAAAACCAAGCCACUAUGGGAUGCCUCCAAGGUCAUUGGCUGAUGGUGUUGUGCUAGGGAGGCCCUAGUUUGUGAGUAAAGCUGGGAUAUGAGGGACUUGUAGUUCAGGCUCAGCCUUCUGUUCAGGGUGAGACAUUUGCCCUUGACUGCUUGUGUGUGUGGGAGCCCAUUGUCAGGCAGGCCCGUAAAUCUGGUCUGAGUUUGAUACUUCUUUCCCCCUCCAUCUGGGACAGGUGAGUUGCAUUUCCCAGGAGUAGCUCAGAUGUUUUUGGCUUCACCCCCUAUAAUUU
rnacentral:lncRNA from 10 species